rnacentral:rRNA from 1 species
CAGCCGCCGCGGGAAAACGAAGGGGGCUAGCGUUGUUCGGAUUAACUGGGCGUAAAGGGCGCGUAGGCGGGUUUUUAAGUCAGAGGUGAAAUCCCAAGGCUCAACCUUGGAACUGCCUUUGAUACUGGAAGUCUUGAGUCCGGGAGAGGUGAGUGGAACUGCGAGUGUAGAGGUGAAAUUCGUAGAUAUUCGCAAGAACACCAGUGGCGAAGGCGGCUCACUGGCCCGGUACUGACGCUGAGGCGCGAAAGCGUGGGGAGCAAACAGAAUUAGAUACCCCCGUAGUCCCUGUCUCUUAUAA